CGGCUUUCAACGACGAUAUCAAC
rnacentral:miRNA from 1 species